CAAAAGCUUGGUCCUGACUUUACUAUCAAUUCUAGCUAAAUUUACACAUGCAAGUAUCCGCACACCCGUGAGAAUGCCCUAAUACUUCUUAUAUGAAGUCAAGGAGCUGGUAUCAGGCACAACACAAUGUUAGCCCACGACACCUUGCUUAGCCACACCCCCAAGGGAGUUCAGCAGUGAUAAAUAUUAAGGUAUAAGUGUAAACUUGACUUAGUUAAUGCUAAGAGGGCCGGUAAAACUCGUGCCAGCCACCGCGGUUAUACGAGAGGCUCAAAUUGAUAGAUGCCGGCGUAAAGGGUGGUUAAGAAAUAAUAAAACUAAAGCCGAACACCUUCAAGGCUGUUAUACGCACCCGAAGGUUUGAAGAACUUCUACGAAAGUGGCUUUAAAUAUUCUGAACCCACGAAAGCUAGGGAACAAACUGGGAUUAGAUACCCCACUAUGCCUAGCCGUAAACAAAGGUAGCAACCUCACACUUGCUACUCGCCAGGGAAUUACAAGCAUUAGCUUAAAACCCAAAGGACUUGGCGGUGCUUUAGAACCACCUAGAGGAGCCUGUUCUAGAACCGAUAACCCCCGUUCAACCUCACCCUUUCUUGUUAUUACCGCUUAUAUACCACCGUCGUCAGCUUACCCUGUAAAGGAUUAAUAGUAAGCAAAAAUGGUACAACCUAAUACGUCAGGUCGAGGUGUAGCGCAUGAAAGGGAAAGAAAUGGGCUACAUUCCCUGACUCAGGGAAUACGAAUGAUAAAUUGAAAUAAUUGUCUGAAGGUGGAUUUAGUAGUAAGAUGGAAAAUAGAGUGUUCCCCUGAAACCGGCCCUGAAGCGCGCACACACCGCCCGUCACUCUCCCCAAGCUCAUAAUUUAAUUAAAUAAAAUAUAAUAACUGCAAAGGGGAGGCAAGUCGUAACAUGGUAAGUGUAUCGGAAGAUGCACUUGGAAAAA
rnacentral:ncRNA from 1 species